GGCUCAGAGGCACUCUGCAGUCACACAGCUGGAGGGGUGCAGUGAGACGCGGAGGCUCCAAGUCUCUUCUGGACUAGGCCUGGAUCUGCCACCUCUUCUUUCGGCUGUGGAUGGCCCUGGGAGACACGCCUGGCCUCAGAUGCCCCUUGACCCAACUGGAGGAAGGGUGGGGGGCCCAGCAGAAAAGCCUGCAGCCUCCCUGGGCACCGUUUCAAAGCUGAUGCUGCUCUCCCUGCUCUGGGUCUCAGCUCCUCCCCUCUUCUGCAUUGUUGACCAACAGCCUGGGUCUGACGCGGAAGCAGAAGAAUUCCCAUUCAACUGGGCCCCAGGGAUGGGGGGCCUCUCUGCCAAAAGCAACAGGCUGCCCAACAGACCUCUCAUUGAUUGGAAGAGAAAUGAGCCCAGAGCCUCCUAACAACAGCCUUGGAGUGGACAGGAUGAUGAACAGUGAUGCCAAAGACUCAGGAUCUGAAGGCAGACAGGCCUGGUCCACCACCUGUGUCUGCCAUUUGCAGGAUGAGUGACCUUGAGUAGGUCACCUCACACCUCUGAACCUGAAUUCUACAUCUGCAAAACAGGAAUGAUGACCCUGACUGACAGCCUCCCUGUGAGGAGUAAGCCAUACAGCAUCCCUCCCUCCUUCACGUGACAAACUUUUCCUGAGUCCUGACCUCGGGGGCAGGAGCUGGAGAUACUACACUGGAUUAGAAAGAUGAGUUUCCAGUCAAGUGUGGGAGAGAGAAGUAGCCAGGAUGUAGAACCUGACAAGGGAAGAGUUCAGGAACUUGCCCAGUUGAGCAGCCAGUGAACGGGACAGCCCUGAGCACGGUGCACGUUCUGGGGUGGCUCGUGAGUGACAGCAGUACUGGUAUGCUGGUGAGUGCCUCAGCAGGAGCUCCCUCUGUCCCCCUACCAACUCCCCGAUGUCUGGACGGCACCAGAGCCCGCCUGGGAGGCCACGAGCUAACACUCUCAAGAGGAAAACAGGGGGAUCAAACCAAUGACCCAAGGGCCUACAGCUAAGAACUGCUGGAGCCAGGCUCUGAACUGAGCUCUGCCUGACUCCAGAGGUGGUUUCUACCACCAGGCAAUACAACAGGGAGACACGCAGGUGUGUCAGAGAGCAGUCCUCACAGUGCGAGCACAGAAACCAGAGGCCAAGGCUGAAGAUUUUCCUGGACUCGCGGUGCUGCCCAGGAAUCUUCUGAGAAAACCUGUCAGUUGGUAAAGCCACGUGGAGGCGGGGCUAACAAAAUCUGGAAAUGUCUUCACCAGUUCCAAAGUACACACAAACAUUACUUGCCCUCUCUGGGGGUCAACGUUCUUUAUGAUUUUUUUCUCUCCAGGAAAAUAUUAGUUCAUUUAUAGAAACUAAACAUUACAUGUGGAGGGAAAAUGGAAAACGUGGCAUUCUUGGCCUUUUUUCUCCACAGACACAGAAACUGAGAAGGUUUCUCCAUUUCCUUUCUCACAGCCUAUUUGUUGGUGUGGAACUGCCUGUGAAGUCAUUCUGCAGGGGUGGAAAGUGGGGGCCAGCUCUCUGUGGGCAACAGGGACCAUCCCAGAGACAAAGGGCAGCCUCAGCCCACAGACCACUUCGGACUUGAAUCAAGGCCUCAAAGGGCGAGACCUGGGCCACUGUCAAUGUGAGGGCAGGGCUGAAGCCAGGGAUUUGGAAAAUUGGUGGAAAACACUCCUAUGAGCUGGGGCUUGCUCUGCUGUGGAAAACUGCCAGCAUCAGCACUUCUCCCAAGGCUGUGCCGAGUCAGCAGUCAGCCCACUCUGGAGCUGCCUCUGAGGACCAGGUGCCUACAGGACCCUGUAAGGAGCUUGAAGAGUUGUGGCUGACGGAGGGAUUUCUGUCCUGGGCUCUAGGAAUUCUAGACUGGGCCCUUCCUCAAGGAGCUUUCAGUCUGGCGGAGCAGACAGACAUGGGCAAAUAAGCCCACAACUAACUGUGCCAUCACUGCAGAAGGAAGUGCCACGGAGGAGCAUGAGGGCCAGUUGCAGGAAGGAGCCAGGGCCAGCAUGUGCCUGUAAAAGCCAGAUAGUAAAUAGUUCACGCUCUGCAGGCCACAGGGUCUUUGUCCCAAGCACUCAACUCUGCCACUGCUGCAUGAAAACAGCCACAGGCGAUAUGUCAACCAAAGAGGGGUGGUUGUGCCCAUAUGAAAACAGAGGGUGGAUCUGUCCCACAGUUUGCCACAGCCUGGCUGUUAGACGGCCUGACCUGAUUGGGGGUGGGGGUGAUAGUGGGGAGAAGGCUUCCCCGAGGCAGUGAUAUUUAGCUAAAAGCUGCAGGCUGAGGCAAUGAUGGAGGCAGAAUCACAAUAUGACAAUUAUGAUAAUCACAUCACCAUGAUCAAGUUCCACCUAACACGUGUGUUCUAUGUUGCGCACUGUGCUAAUAACAACACUACCCUGUGAAGGAGGAAGAUUUUAUGCCCACUUUACAGAUAGAGACACUGAGGCUUGGCAGUAUGCUGAGUAGUCUGUUCACACAAUUCAGCUGCAUUUUUUGC
rnacentral:lncRNA from 10 species